rnacentral:ncRNA from 1 species
CGUCGUGAGGCGGGAUCUGAAAGAAGCCCGAGGCAAACCGUUGACCUGACGAACAGAAACCGCAUCAGGCAUUCGAGGGUGGAUAAACCUGCAAGACAAGGUGAAGUCCUACAGCUACACGGACCCGAGGUGUAAAUGCGGCAGGUACAUGACGGGAAAGAACG